rnacentral:rRNA from 1 species
AAGGGCACCACAAGAACGCGUGGAGCAUGUGGCUUAAUUUGACUCAACGCGGGAAAUCUUACCGGGUCCGGACACAUUGAGGAUUGACAGAUAUAUUCACUUUUUAGUGGGAAAGAUGCUAGUUCUUUCAUGAUUAUGUGAUAGGUGGUGCAUGGCCGUUCUUAGUUCGUGGAGUGAUCUGUCUGCUUAAUUGCGUUUCACUUAAAAAUAUAUUUUAUUCACCCAGUGAAUAAUUUAUAAAAUAGAAAGCAACGAACGUGAUCGUUGUCUUUUAUUGUGUGUACUUGAUAAACACACACAAAUAUAUAUUAAAUUAAAGAGACCGCUGUAUUUUCUUUUAAACCAGAGGAAGGUAACGGCAAUAACAGGUCUGUGAUGCCCUUAGAUGUUCCGGGCUGCACACGUGCUACAAUAAUUAUUGUAGCGUGCAUCUUACAUAAAAAGUAUAUAUUUUUAUAUACAAAAAAAUCCUACAUCGAGAGUUUCUCAGUGGGUAAUCAAUUAGAAGUAAUGUAUUUCCAACCCCUCGUAUGUGUUUUUUACACAUAAAAUAAUAUUAUCACUCUUUUUUUGAGUGCAUAAUAUAUUUUUGUCUCAUAUACUAUAUCAAUUUAUAGUGGGGAUAGACCAUUGUUAAUUAUUGGUCUCGGUCUUAACUAGGAAUGCCUUGUACGGGUAUAUGGUUCAAUAAACCACCCGGAAUACGUCCCUGCCCUUUGUACACACCGCCCGUCGCUCUUACCGAUGAACUCUUCUAUGAGUUUAAGGGAUUGCUAUAGAACACAAAGCAGGAAAUAAAAAACUUAAACAAAUAGUGUGGUUUAAAGGAAAGAGAAGUCGUAACAAGGCAUCNGUAGGUGAACCU